UACGUAGGUGGCAAGCGUUGUCCGGAAUUAUUGGGCGUAAAGCGCGCGCAGGCGGUCCUUUAAGUCUGAUGUGAAAGCCCACGGCUCAACCGUGGAGGGUCAUUGGAAACUGGGGGACUUGAGUACAGAAGAGAAGAGUGGAAUUCCACGUGUAGCGGUGAAAUGCGUAUAGAUGUGGAGGAACACCAGUGGCGAAGGCGACUCUUUGGUCUGUAACUGACGCUGAGGCGCGAAAGCGUGGGGAGCAAACGGG
rnacentral:rRNA from 1 species